CAAGGUUAAGUUUUGGUGGUCAAGUCCAUAUCUCAGAUACUAUAAGCAAUAGGGCUAGUAUAUUUGGUGUAUGGAAGGACUUAAAGGUGUACAUGUCCAACUGGCAGGUGUCAUCUGACCUUGACCUCAUUUUCAUGGUUCAGUGGUUAUAGUUAAGUUUUUGUGUUUUGGUCUGUUUUUCUCAUACUUUAUGCAAUAGGUCUACUAUAUUUGUUGUAUGGAAUGAUUGUAAGGUGUACAUGU
rnacentral:lncRNA from 1 species